UGAGGGAACAAUCACAUUCUGUAAUGCUGA
rnacentral:piRNA from 1 species